rnacentral:tRNA from 1 species
GGAGAGAUGGCAGAGUGGCUGAAUGCGCAUCCUUGCUAAGGUUGUGAUUGGAGUUUAUCCGAUCCGAGGGUUCGAAUCCCUCUCUCUCCGCCA